GGUGCCAUUUCAACUAGUAUGAUCCUGAUCCAAUUCAAUGACUUAGUGAAGUCAGUGAGAGGAUGGUGGUUUACUGAUUGAUCUCUUCUCAUCUUUUCUUGAAAUUAAUUAUCAAUUUUUUUAAAUUAUUAGGUCCAUAAGAUGAGCUAGUUAUGGGGAUAACUAAAUCAUAGCCUCCCAUUAAAGUGAAUGAUAAUAGGUCCAUUAUUUUUGAUUG
rnacentral:lncRNA from 1 species